GGCGAACGGGUGAGUAACGCGUGAGCAAUCUACCUUAGUUACAGGGAUAGCCCGAGGAAACUCGGAUUAAUACCUGAUAUUCUUUAUUUCUCGCAUGAGAAUAAAAGGAAAGGUCAGCCGAACUAAGAUGAGCUCGCGUUCUAUCAGCUAGUUGGUGAGGUAAAAGCUUACCAAGGCUACGACGGAUAGCUGGUCUGAGAGGACGAUCAGCCACACUGGGACUGAGACACGGCCCAGACUCCUACGGGAGGCUGCAGCAGGGAAUAUUGUGCAAUGAACGAAAGUUUGACACAGCGACACCGCGUGUGGGAUGACGGAUCUAGGUUUGUAAACCACUUUCAGGAGGGAAGAAAAUGACGGUACCUCCACAAGAAGCCCCGACCAACUACGUGCCAGCAGCCGGGGUAAUACGUAGGGGGCGAGCGUUGUCCGGAUUUAUUGGGCGUAAAGAGCUCGUAGGCGGUUCAACAAGUCGGUCGUGAAAGUUCAGGGCUCAACCCUGAAAUGUCGAUCGAUACUGUUGUGACUAGGAUACGGUAGAGGUGAGUGGAAUUCCGAGUGUAGCGGUGAAAUGCGUAGAUAUUCGGAGGAACACCAAUUGCGAAGGCAGCUCACUGGACCGCUAUCGACGCUGAGGAGCGAAAGCUAGGGGAGCAAACAGGAUUAGAUACCCUGGUAGUCCUAGCUGUAAACGAUGGAUACUAGACGUAGGAACUGGAUUGACGGUUUCUGUGUCGUAGCUAACGCGUUAAGUAUCC
rnacentral:rRNA from 1 species